rnacentral:rRNA from 1 species
GACGAACGCUGGCGGCAGGCCUAACACAUGCAAGUCGAACGCUCCGCAAGGGGAGUGGCGCACGGGUGAGUAACACGUGGGAACCUACCUUCUGGUACGGAACAACCAAGGGAAACUUUGGCUAAGACCGUAUACGACCUCCGGGUGAAAGAUUGAUCGCCGGAAGAGGGGCCCGCGUCCGAUUAGGUAGUUGGUGAGGUAACGGCUCACCAAGCCUUCGAUCGGUAGCUGGUCUGAGAGGAUGACCAGCCACACUGGGACUGAGACACGGCCCAGACUCCUACGGGAGGCAGCAGUGGGGAAUAUUGGACAAUGGGCGCAAGCCUGAUCCAGCCAUGCCGCGUGAGUGAUG